UUUGGGAAGGCUGUACCUUCCUACUACCUCAGCCGAUGGGGAAAGAAAGAGGGCAACAUGCGGCCGGGAGUCUAGGAUAAAAAGAUGCUGUGCCCUCCGAAACUGAGAGAGGAUCCCGGCAGGCGUGUGCCCCAGUGGACUCUCUCCCUUUAUCCGAAUAAAGUUGCAGGACUCUUCUGUCUCCUUUCUGGACAUAAAGCCCCGCCGUUUGUGCAUUUUCUUGCCAGUGACACCUCCCUGGGAGGGGAGGAACAGCUUUGCUAAUGGGGCCUGGCAGGCUCCCACCCAGCUGUCCCUGGCACCUCGCCGCCACCCCCAGCAGUGCCGCAGCCCCCCCGCCCGUCCUGCCAGCCUCUCUCCCCCUUCCCUCGGCAGCGGAUUCCCGGCCGGGCCCGCGGGCCGCUGGCAGCUCCCAGCGCCAGGUGCCCGUUGCCAGGCAACGCCCGCCGGCAUCCCCGGAACGUGGGCCCGGCCCGGGGCGGCUCAGCGCUGCGGAGGCGUCGCAGGGCGCCUCGGGUAAAGCUGGGGCCUCUUGUAAUUUAACUUUGGUUUUAUUUUUACAGUGGGUGAGUUACAGAGUUAUUAUUAUCUAAAAUCAGAGCCAAUCGUAAGCGAGCAGCUGGGUGCCAAUGAAUAGUUUUGCCUACUCAUGCCAGUCAAAGCUAAGACACAGUCCAUUCAGCUGGCAGUGACAACCCUCAGACAACAAAGUCUGCACCUGCUCUGAUUCUUAACUUGAAGGAUGGCUCUGUCUCAGUACAGUUUUUUUUCAUAGUGUUGCCUUAGAGAACUGUAGCUUCAAUGAAGUCAUUGUUUCUGUCAUUAACUGCUUGAAUAAUUCAUUACUUAACAGAAAACAUCCCUCUUUGCUCUCUGUUUAUUCCAUUGUUUGUAUGUUUCAAAAUAAAUAAAUCAAUGAGUAAUA